ACCUAAUUUCAUCGCAUCGCUGUAUCAACCUGAUCGGAUCGCUGUAUCGACCUAAUUUCAUCGCAUCGCUGAAGAGUCUGUAUCAUAUUAUAACCAAAAAAUGUGUUGAUGGAAAAGGAUUUGUUCUCCCAAGUCAAAUAGCUGUGGGAUAGCUUUUUCCCAGUUUCGACGAGAUGCUUCAAUCACAGGUCUGAACUCAGCAGUGAGCAGCAGGUCCAACACCGCCAACUCCAAAAUCGGUAGUGGAAUUGAUGCACUUGAUGUGUUUCUUCAACUUCCUCAUAAGCAAUAUAACACAGGCUGGGUUCUCUCUCAGGUGGGAAAAGCUCAUUUUGAAUUGGUUGAUUAUCUAGAAGCUGAGCGUGCCUUUAGCAAUGCCAGAUUGGCUUCUCCUUAUAGCUUAGAUAUCACCUGAAGGAGGAUAUGUGGUUAAAUUAUUUGGCACAAGAGCUAAUAUCAACGGAUCGCUUAGCCCCUUAAUCAUGGUGUGCAAUGGGAAAUUGCUUUAGUAUGCAAAAAGACCAUGAAAUAGUAUCUUACUCUUUUUUGAGCAAAUGAUCGUUUUACCCUUCUAUUUAGAAACAAUGCUUACCAACAAAAGAAACAAUAUCCUACCAUCCUUCGAGUAUAUGACCAUUUUACCCUUCUAUUUAAUGAAUGACCAUUUGACCAUUCUAUAUGGUAAAUGAUCAUUUUAUCAUUGUAUUUUGCAGGAGUCUGAAAAGUAUUCCAUAAGGACGCCCAACAAAUGGAACUUUUCAUUUGAUUCCAUGUAUAAUUUAGACAAAGAUCAAGUGCCAUGAAAACUAUCCUAAGGCAAUUUUUCUCUGUUUUCAGAACUAAAUCAUAUUGGUCAACAAUACAACUUGCUGAUAUCAGGACAAAAAUUUAUCAUUUAUGAAUUAUGAUAUACCUACUUAUUCUUGGAUAAUCGCUAAAGUCUUAUUUUUGAGUGAAAGAAUGACAUGUUAUCUAAUUUAUGCAUACAUUGAUCUAUAAACUACAAGAUGUGAAAGACAGAGGGAGGGGCUUACAUUCAU